rnacentral:rRNA from 1 species
UACGGAGGGUGCAAGCGUUGUCCGGAUUUAUUGGGUUUAAAGGGUGCGUAGGCGGAUUGUUAAGUCAGUGGUGAAAGCCUGCGGCUUAACCGCAGAAGUGCCAUUGAUACUGGCAAUCUUGAGUGCAGUGGAGGUAGGCGGAAUUUAUGGUGUAGCGGUGAAAUGCAUAGAUACCAUAAAGAACACCUAUAGCGAAGGCAGCUUACUACACUGCAACUGACGCUGAGGCACGAAAGCGUGGGGAUCAAACAGG